AUUAUCAAAUUGAACACAAGCAAGCAAGCUGACUUAGCUCGUAUUCGGCUCGUUUAUUAAUCGAGCUGAAAAAUACAGUUUGUGUUCGGCUUAUUUAUUAAACGAGAUUCAAUUUUGAGUUCAUUUCAAGCCGAAUACGAACUGACUUGCGAACAACAAACUAAAUUGCCGUCCCUACUAUUUGUAGACCAAGUGAUAAAAAAUUUGAUGGCUAAUAUCCGAAAUUAUAAAUUCGUAGUGUAGUUAUUCUAUAUUUUCAACUAAAUUUAUUUUUUAAAAAUAAAUAAAAUAAAUAGCAUGUUA
rnacentral:lncRNA from 1 species